CAGGUUAAGGGUCUACAGCUUAUUAAGUCUGGAAAAAAAGACCAUCUCAUCAUUGUCUUAAAUUUUGCAGAUAUGUGUGUAGAAACAGAUUUAAAAAGAGGUAAUUUGGAUUACCUCAAUUCGGCUACCACAAGAGGCAUGAUUCUCUGUGAUAGACUUCCCCGAACCGAUGUGAAUCCCCACUUUUGAGUGAAGAUCCUAUUACACGACAGAGUUGAUACUCUGUCGGAAUUUCCAACGAGUGACUCGUUGGUCUCAUCCCAAGACUACGCUGGUCUUGUGUCCGACGGUUUAGACAGAGUUGAAACUCUGCAAUUAGCUUCCUCCACGGAUCACUCGAUUGAAGGCAAGUUGAGAGGAAAUACUUCCCUUCUCACAGUUGGGGUACCAAUAUCGCCUCUCGAACCAUGGUGAGACUCCAAUACCAUGCUGAGUCACCCACCACUUUAGCCGUUCGAGUAUUGGUGACCUUUCCUCUAUUUAAUACCUACUUAAUCAUUAAUCACAAACCUUAAUUCCGGUUUUAGUCCGGUUAUCUAUUUAAGAUUUUCCAUAACCAGUAAAAAAACGUCACGGUUCAAUCCGGUUGAUUGUUUAGCCACGCACGCACAUGUAAGUUUUGUGAGUCCCUCCGUAUCAUUUAUAUAGCGCUCUGCUGCAUUGUUUUUAAGGUUAUAAAUAAAAUAGAAACAGAAGCAACUCAAAUUACUUCGAUUAGGCUAACACUAAAGGCAUGAUUCUUUGUGAUAAUUUACCAUGAUAGUACCAGUAUUAUUCGAAACCUUGUAGGACUCUCGAUCAUGCUGAGCCACUACCACUUUACUGAGCCCAAAUAGGUGAUAGUUUCUCUAUUUUACUACCACUUAAAACGUUUCUAACACGUAAACAAAACCCACAACAAGCCAACCUGGAACAAUUUAGGUUUUUUUUUUUUUUUGGACCAACUAAGAUUUCAUUAGAACUUAACCACGAGGUGUCUCCAGAUUCGGAGGUUACAAAAGGUUACUCGGAGCCAAACAAACAACUUCUAUGACCCCAGGGGCGGACCCACAUGUCAUAUGGUGGGGGCAGCUGCCACCAGCAAAAAAAAAAAAAAAAAAUACAUUAAAAAAUUAUUAAAAAUUAGAAAAAAAAAAUCUGACCCCACUAAAAUUGUUCUUCCUUCUUUUUUUGUCCCCACCGAACAAAAGCCCAAUAUCAAGUUAUCAACCCAUAUAGCAAACAAAAAUAUUAAUAUAUAAACCUAAAAUAACUAACUUAAUAAAUUAAAGACCUAAACCUAGUUUGUUGUUAUUUUUUCUCCUAUUCUUUUCUCCUCUGGUUUUUUUUGCUGUACACGACGAUUAACAAGUGCAAGUCAACAAAUAUCAAUUGGUGAGUCUUUUUCCUGCUUUUUAUAGAAAUUAUUAUAGUGUGAUGUGACAUUAUUACUGUAGGUUUUCUAAAUUUUUAACUAAUAACAUGUUUUUGUUUUAUAGCUAAAUCACCAAUAUGAAAAAAUUUUACAAACCAAUUCCUAAACCAACGCCACACUCCAAUAUCGAUGAUCAACCACGGGAUCCAGCUAACACCAAUGUUGAUGAUCAACCACUGGAUCCAGCUAACACCAAUGUCGAUGAUCAACCAUUGGAUCCAGAUAACACCAAUGUCGAUGAUCUGCCUUGGGAUCCAGCUAAGAGAAAAGAGAUAGUGAGUUAUCACUUUUGAUUGUGUGUUCUAUAUGCAACUUAUGCUACUUAUUUUGGGAUUAACUGAGAAUUUGUCAAUGGCUUUGCAAAGGAAAGACCAAGAUAUUUUGAAUGCCAUGUCAUUGGUGGAAUCUACUAAGAGAGAAUUACAGAAGCUUAUAGAUGAUGGAUGGGAUUCACUUAUGAAUAAAGUUUCAUCUUUUUGUGAGAAACAUAAUGCUGAACUGCUUGUCAUGGAAGACGUUUUUGUAGAUCCAAGGAAACCAAGAAGAAAAACCAAUAUAACCAACCUACAUCAUUAUAAGGUUAACUGCUUCUACACUACAGCUUCAGGAGUUCAAUGAUCGUUUUACGGAGGUAAACACUGAUCUACUUAUUUGUAUGGCUUCUUUAAGUCCUCUUGAUUCAUUCCAAGAAUUUAACAGAGAAAAAUUGGUGAGGUUGGCUAAGUUUUAUCCAGAUGACUUCAGCUAUGGGGAGGUUUUGUCUCUUGAGCAGCAUCUUGAUAUCUACAUUGACAAUGUGAGCAGAGAUGAACAAUUUAAGAGUCUGAAAAGUCUUGGAGAGCUUUCCCGUUUGAUGGUGAAAACCCAAAAACAUCUUGCACAUCCCUUGGUUUAUAGGCUUUUGAAAUUAGUUCUAACUUUACCAGUUGCUACAGCAAGUGUUGAGAGAUGUUUUUCUGCAAUGAAAUUGGUGAAGACAGCUGCACGGAAUAGAAUUGGAGACCAAUUUCUAAGUGAUUGUCUUGUUUGCUAUAUUGAAAAAGAAUUAUUUGAAGCGGUCACAAAUGAAAAUGUGAUAAAAAGGUUUCAAUUGUUAAAUGAGCGUCGGGUAGUUUUGUAAGAUGUUUUAAAAGUUUUAUAUGACAAUUUUAUGUUUUUCAAUAAUUUAGUAUUUGAUGGUUUUUACUAUUUUUUUGCCCCCGUUGAAUAAAUUUUCUAGAUCCGCCCCUAUAUGACCCACAACAUGGCCAAGUAAAUACAGAGAAAGUUAAAACAACAACCAUUGAACAAACAAAAACAUAUAGGGAUAAGUGAGAGCUUACCAACUCAACCAAAGAAGCGUACAAACAUAAGCUACCGGGAGGGAAAUCACCCGAAGAGAAUUUCAAGAUAAACUUCAGAUAAUAGAGGGUAUUCUAUUGCUUUCAAAGAGAUCUUCAAGCAAAGUCCGGACAUUGAUUCUACUGUCCAACCUACUGAACUAGUUCAUGUACUAAUCCUCCCAGAAGAUCCCAUGACACGUUUAAAGUCUAAAUAGUUUAGAAAGAGGUUCAACUUUGAUGUACAAAGACAUUGUGACUAAAUUAAGAACACAUUUCCAAAUGAUGAGACUUGUGAGUCCAUAAUCUAAUCAACAGAUCAAAAAAUCUGUAAAUUAAAGAAGUCAAAACGCAAAACCAGACGCAAAUCUGGUAAAAUUUAGGUCUAUGCGAUAAAAAUUACUCAUAUAUAUAUAUAUAUAUGAACAAGAUUCCACCUUGGAUAUAUUCAGUUAUAAAUUGAACAUGUUCACAUCCUCAUACUUAAAACUUAAAACGUUUUGACAUAAAUAUUUAGUUUCUCUCAAAGUGGAAACCUUAAAUAUUCCUUAAAAAAGUAGGAUAUUUUUUUUCAUUGUUUAUUCGAAGGUAAAACAUUUUCGAUAGAUACAACUUCGCCCUAAUGAUUAAUUCUUACAUAAACUUGACGUUAAAGAUUUCGAAACACAUCUCGACCGACGCAUACUCAGUAUCAAAGUAUGAUCUAGCUCUAUCUUUAACACCUUUGAUGCAUCAACAUGCAAUACUAUAAGUAUUUUGAUUUGUCUUAUGCUCACAUAUAUAAAAAGAGAAAUUUUAGGUAUAAUUAUGUUUUUUAUUUAAUUAUUUUAAAAUUUUGAAACUAUGAAAUGGACUCAGACGUUAAAAUGGGAAGUUUUAGGACUAAAAUAUAUAUUGAUCGUGUCAUUUUAUUAAAUAGGACCAUAGUAAUUCUUCUUUACCUAAUUUAAUUUUCUCUUUAUAAGUUAUCUGUAAAUUGUUGAGAUAGAAUUUUCUCCUCUCCUCCCCCCCCUCAGUUUACGUGAUAAAUGGAAAAAUAUGUGUUACUAGAUUGACUCAUCCAUUUCUUAUACUUUAUAACUUAUAAACUAAGUUUUCAAUAAAAAUCAUCCACCAUGAAACUUAUAAAUAUUUCACCAAUAAUAUCAAUUAAGGAGUAAAAUCAAUGGGAAACAUAUGUUAUUGUAUGAUAAAGUAUCAUUAUAUAAUCAUAACACCAAAAAAAGCUAAUAUAGUACAAAACGCCAGAAAAUUUCAUACAAUAAGAUAUAUCUUGGUAUAAGUAAUAUAUUACUGUUAAUAGAGGAAACUAAGGCCAUGAAUGAAAUGAGAUUUUCAACUGGAUUUUAGCUUUUAGUUUUUGGAUUUUAGUUUUUACUUUCUAAAUAAUUAGUUUUUGGUUUUUGUUAAAAAAAGAUAAAAAAAAAGAAUAACAAACAAAAAUUGCAAAAUGAAAAAAAAUACAUUGACGUUGAAUGAAACCAUCAAAAGGGGUUUUUUUUUUUUUUUAAAUGAGUAAAAAUGAGUAAAAUCUCAUAAAAAGUAGAUCCCAAUUUUUUAGGAAAACCAAUUUUAUAAAAUCUUGAAUGGCAACAAAUUAGAUUAAUAGAAAAACUAAAACCAAAAUCUACCUUAAAACUAGUAACCAUUCAAGGCCUAAAUUAAAAUAUUACUAAUAUUUUAAAAGUGUUAUAUCCAUGUAUAUAAUCUAUCCAUAUAUUACUAUAUAAAUAUAGGAGUAUAGGGGAAAUAAAUAUUUUAUUAAAGUUUUUUUCUUCUAAAGAUUAUAUAUAAACUAAUAAUAGUUACACAGAGUAGAUUUUUUAGAUUUCUUUCAUUUUUAAUUAGAAGGUAAUUUCCCUUUAUGAAAUUUAUACUUUUAUUUUUCAAUGCAAAUUUAUAUAAAAGAUAGAUUUUUAAAUUUAUUUCCUUUAGUUUUUAAUUCAAAGAUAAUUUCUGUUUCUAAACUUUAUACCUUUAUCUUUUCAAUGAAUUUUUUAUAUAAAAGGAUACAUAAGCAAGUAUAACAUACCUUCAUCUUCCUUUGGAGUUAACAAUUCACAGAUGAUGAGAAGAAACAUUGAUCUAAAUUUGAUUCCUGAUUUAAAUUCCAGUCCUGAUCAAAAUGAUGAUCUUUUGCCUACUGAUGAACAGUGCGAGAUUUUGAGCCCUGAACCUCUUAGAGUCAUUUUUCCAUACCAAUAUUAUGCAUAUAGUCAACAAGCUGACAUGUUUUCCGCAUCCUCGACGCACAACCAUGAUCAGAAUAAUGUCCAAGUUGGUCGACCUUUGAAAAAAAUCUCCAACCCAACCAUGCUUUUUGAAAAAAGUACCGAUGAGAGAAGUUGUGAGGAAAUCAAGAAAAGUGACGAUGAUGGUCGAACACACAAUCUACCAUAUGAGAAAUAUGGUCCAUAUACAUGUCCUAAGUGCACAGGUAAGUUUGACACUUCUCAAAAAUUUGCUGCACAUAUGUCAUCUCACUACAAGACUGAAACGAACAAUGAAAGAGCCGAGAGAUUUCGUGAAAGAAAUAAGAAAAAGUAUGGUAAAAGAAAUCUCGAAGAUCAUGGCGAGUCUCAAAAAUCAACCUAGAGGAUGGCGUCAAUAGCAGCGGAGGAAGUGACGACAAAACUAUAUAACAUCCAAAGAUUGUAAAAUAAUAACUUAUUUAGGAUUUUAUUUCCUUAUAUCUCUUUUUAGUAUUUUAUGUUUCUCUGAAAUUGCUUAUUCUCCUUUCUUUCUAGUAUUUUCAUCAUAUUUGUUGGUACAAUGAGUGGAUAUGCGUUUAUUCGCAGUAAAUUGUACUUUUAAUUAUCGUUUUUAAUUUAAGAUGUGGUUUUUUAUAAAAAUAUUUUCUCAAAUUUCAGUUAAUAAUGCAUAUGAAAUGGUACAUGUUAAAUCAUAUCCCACUUUAAAGUGUCAAGACUGUGUUAACUAAUAAUCGUGUAUGAUCCAAAGGAGAUGUUACAAAAAGGUUUUUCUUGCUUCUCAAUUAAGAGUCUAAAGAUGGUGAAUUUUUGUGGAAAUCUGAUGAUUUUUGGCACUGAUCCGAGUCGGUAUAGUAAACAUAUAUGAUGAGAAGAUUCUGGUACGUAGAGAUUUGCAUUGGAAAUAAAGGAAGGAGGUGGGACUUGUGGGAGAAAGUUGAAUAAGUCAGGGUUUGUUCUUUUGAUGAAGAAAUCAGAUUUUUUAGACUUGUCCUCUAGCCUUAACACUUAGUAUUUUAUGAACUUGCAGGUUGUUAAGUCUCGAAAAAAGACCAUCUCAUCAUUGUCUUAAAUUUUGCAGAUAUGUGUGUAGAAACAUAUUUAAAAAGAGGUAAUUUGGAUUACCUCAAUUCGGCUACCACAAGAGGCAUGAUUCUCUGUGAUAGACUUCCCCGAACCGAUGUGAAUCCCCACUUUUGAGUGAAGAUCCUAUUACACGACAGAGUUGAUACUCUGUCGGAAUUUCCAACGAGUGACUCGUUGGUCUCAUCCCAAGACUACGCUUGUCUUGUGUCCGACGGUUUAGACAGAGUUGAAACUCUGCAAUUAGCUUCCUCCACCGAUCACUCGAUUGAAGGCAAGUCGAGAGGAAACACUUUCCUUCUCAAAGUUGGGGUACCAAUAUCGCCUCUCGAACAAUGGUAAGACUCCAAUAUCAUGCUGAGUCACCCACCACUUUAGCUGUUCGAGUAUUGGUGACUUUUCCUCUAUUUAAUACCUACUUAAUCAUUAAUCACAAACCUUAAUUCCGGGUUUAGUCCGGUUCUCUAAGAUUUCCUUAACCGGAGAAAAACGUUACGGUUCAAUCCGUUUUUCUUUCUCGAGCUAUACAAGGGAUAGGGUCUAGUUUGUAAUAUUUCAAGUUCGAUUUAUAUAAAGUUUAACAUUAAAACAGAAAACAAAAUAAAGUUGGAGGUGGCGAAGCAACCCUAGCGAAGCAACCUACUUUGACGUAGGUCUUUGACGAGGGGAACACAAUACAAGUCAGCCUUGGUGGCUGAAGCAGCAGCUUGACCUCUGAGAGACUGAGACGACCAGUCCUCCUAGCAGUAAUAUAAGACCAAACUUCUGUCGAAGAGGUGCAUCAUGCCUAACUAUACUGGCUUGACCAAUGUGCUGAUGGUUAACUCCUCAAUGAGGAUGCUCUACUUGGUUCACACCAGAAACUUUAAGACAUGACUCAUGAGGUUCUCUUCACCCGGUGCUUGUGUUACACGUUUCCUUCACUAAAAUUAAGGGUUUUGGUAACCCUAAUUCAUUGACUCGCUCAAAAGUCACCACCUCCAUUUAUUAAAGUAUUACAUAUUAAACUAAAAUUUGCUUAAAAUACCUUCAAUAAUGAUGGCCUCCCUAUCAUUUAUAAUGCUCGCUGAGUUUUAAGGUAUUAUUGAAAAAGAAGUAAUUUAUAUUACUUCGAUUAUGCUAACACUAAAGGCAUGAUUCUUUGUGAUAGUUUACAGAAUGAGUCAAUACCAAUGUUAUUCGAACCCUGGUAAGACUCUCGAUCAUGCUGAGUAACUACCACUUUACUGGGCUGAAAUUGGUGAUAGUUUCUCCAUUUAAUUACUAUUUAAAACGUUUAUAUGAUAUAACUCAUGUACUGUAUAUGGAUUAAUACAGCACGUAAACAAAAUCCACAACAAGCCAACCUAGAACAACUUAGGUUUUUAUUUUAUUUUGGACCAACUAAGAUGUCUCCAAAUUCGGAGGAUACAACCGACAGGACCGUUGAAUAGCGGAACUUCAGAAACGUGUGAGAAACACAAACUCAUGCCAAGGAGCCGCCUUGAUGCAUCGGAGAAGAUUUUCAUCCCUACAAUAUAAAUUGAAUAUGUUCACAUCAUCAUCGUUAAAACGCUUUGACAUAAACGUCUAGUUUCUCUCCAUGUGGAAACCCUAAAUCAUUCUUAAAAACAAUAGGGUCGUUUUUUCAUUGUUCAUUCGAAGUUAGGACAUUUUCCAUAGAUGCAACUUCGCCCUAAUUAAGAUUCUUACAUAAAUUUGACGUUCAAGAUUUCGAAAACAUCUCGGCCGUCGCAUAAUGAGUACCAAAGUAUGAUCUCUAUCGUCUUUAACACCUUUGAUGCAUCAUCAUGCAAUACUAUAAGUAUUUUUGAUUCUUCUCUCUAUUUGGUCUCAUGCUCACAUAGUCACAUAUAUCAAAAGAGCAAUUUUGGGUAUAAUUAAUUAUGCUGUUUAUUUUAAAUUUUGAAACUAUGAAAUGGACUUAGACGUUAAGAUGGGAAGGUUUUAGGACCAAAUUAUAUAUUGAUCGUGUCAUUUUAUUAAAUAGGACCAUAGUAAUUGUAGUUCACCUAAUUUAAUUUUUUCUUUAUAAAUUAUUUGUAUAUCGUUGAGAUAGAUUUCUUUCCUCAAUUUAUUAGGUAGGUGUCCUCUCAGUUUACGUGAUAAAUGGAAAAGUAUGUGUUAAUAGAUCGACUCAUCCAUUUCUUAUACCUUAUAAUUUAUAAUCUAUGAUUUUCAUGAAAAUCACCCACCAUGAAACUUAUAAAUAUUUCACUAAUAAUAUUAAUUAAGGAGUAAAAUUAAUGGUAAACAUAUGUUACUGUAUAAAUGAUAAGUAUCAUCAUAAAAUCAUAUCACCAAAAAAGUAAUAUAUUAAUAAAUGCCAGCAAAUGUUAAACAACUAGAUAUAUCUUAGUAUAAAUAUUAUAUUACAGUUAAUGUAGAGGAAAUUAAAAUUAUAAUAUUAUUAAUAUUUUUAAAGUGUAUAUAUGACGUGUAAUCAACCUUCUUAGACUAUCCAUAUAUUACUAUAUAAAUAGAGGAGUUUAGGGGAAAUAAAUAAUUAAUUAAAGAUUUUUUUCUUAUAAAGAUUAAAUANNNNNNNNNNNNNNNNNNNNNNNNNNNNNNNNNNNNNNNNNNNNNNNNNNNNNNNNNNNNNNNNNNNNNNNNNNNNNNNNNNNNNNNNNNNNNNNNNNNNCAAAUUUUAUAUAAAGGUAGAUUUCUAGAUUUAUGUAUUUCCUUUAAUUUGUAAUUUAAAGAUGAUUUCCAUUGCUGAAGUUUAUAGCUUUAUUUUUUUCAAUGAAAUUUUUAUAUAAAAGAUUACAUAAACAAGGGUACCAUACUCUCAAUCUUUCACAAAUGUCUUCCAUCCCAAAUAAGUUUGAUAUUCACGGUGAUGAUACAGUAAACCAUCGUGGAUUUGGUCCCAUGGACAUGAAUCACAACUCCAAAAUGGCUCGAUCACUGUUCACUACAUCUGAUUGUGCCAACAACGGAGAUAUAUUUUCUUCUUCCCCAUCAUUAUCAACUUUCCAAAAUUCACAUGUCUCUUCAUCUUCCUUUGGAGUUAACAGUUCACAUAUGAACAAUCAUAUGAUGAGAAGAAACAUUGAUUUAAAUUCUAUUCCUGAUUUAAAUUCCAUUCCAGAUUCAAAUGCUAUUCCUAAUUUAAAUUCCAUUCCAGAUUCAAAUGCUAUUCCUGAUUUAAAUUCUACUCCUAAUAUUUCUGCACAUCGACGCACAACAAUGGUCAAAGUAAUGUCCAAGAUGGUCAAUCUUUGAAAAAAAUCUCCAAGCCAACCAUGCUUUUUGAAAAAACUACCGAUGAAAGAAGUUGUGAAGAAAAUAAGAAAAGUGACAAUGAUGGUCGAACACAUAGUCUACAGUAUAAGAAAAACGGUCCAUAUACAUGUCCUAAGUGCAAUGGUAUGUUCGAUACUUGUCAGAAAUUUUCUGCACAUAUAUCAUCUCACUACAAGACUGAAACAAACAAAGAAAGAGCCCAGAGAUUUCGUGCAAGAAAUAAAAAAAAGUAUGGCAAAAUAAAUCUCUAAGAUCAUGGCGAGUCUCAAAAAAUCAACCUAGAGGAUGGCGUCAAUAGCAGGGGAGGAAGUGAAGGCUAAUCUAUCCAACAUCCUAAGAUUGUAAAAGAAGAGCUUAUUUUGGAUUUUAUUUCCUUAAAUCUCUUUUUAGUAUUUGAUUUUUCUCAAAAAUUGCCUAUUCUCCUUUUUCUAGUAUUUUCAUCAUAUUUGUUGGUACAAUGAGUGGAUAUGCAUUUAUUUGUAGUCAAUUGUACUUUUUAUUAUCAUUUUUAAUUUAAUAUGUGGUUGUUUUAUAAUAAAUAUUUUCUUAAAUUUCAGUUAAUAAUGCAUAUGCAAUGAUACAUGUUGAAUCAUAUUACACUUGAUAUUAAGCUAUAUAAGUUUUCAUACAUUUGAUAUCAUAUAUAUAUGUAACAAAAAUAAAAAUUUGAUAAGAUAUAUAUUUACUGGAUCUUGUUUGUUUUUGUCUAUUUUCAUAAUUUACAAUGAUUAAAAAUGUUUUAAUAUAAUUAUAUAUGAACGACUUUAAUUUAUACAACGUAACUAACGCAUUUUCAAAAGAAAUGAAGUUGCAAUUUCUUUUAAACGAAUUCUUGAGUAGAAAGAUCACAACUAAAUAUCGAGUAAAUAUUCAUUGCAAGCCAACAAAUGUUGGAUCAGUAUAGUAUAGUAGUAGUCUAGUAGAUAAGAUAAAUAGGACUAUAACCAAAAACAAGCUUACACCAAAAGUAAGUAGAUAGAUUGAGAUAGCACUAAACUUUGUUGAUAGAUCCAUUAUCCACAGAAGCUCGAAGACUUAGGUUACAUCGCAACAUGUCACAAACGAGAUCAUGGUGUGUCAAAAUUUAAAAAGAACAACACCAACGAACACCGUUAUUAAAAAGAACAAAAUUUUGAGUUCGCGGUUAAAUAUGUUGUAGACUAACUACCGUAUACAGCAUCAGGAGGGCAGAUUAUGUCCCAGUCCCCUGCAAGAGCUAAGAUCGGCACAUUUGUUUUGCUGAUAUGAUCCUUGUAAUAGAAAGUACCAGUUCUGUCACACAGUCCACCUUGGUUCACAACUGUUGUUAGCUGCAAGAGAAGCUUAACUGGUACUGUGCCUGUUUUGUUUCUCAAAAUAACGUGAAUAUGCCUAGUAUUAAAUAAGAGCUGAAGUUUGAGAAAAUGUAAAGUAGUAGUUUGAACUCACUUAAACUGUUCAAAACAAGCUUCUCAAUCACUUCGGGGUCCAUCAUUUGAGGAGCAGAAAUAUUAGCUGUUAACCAGGACAAAGCAUAUGGAGGACGAAACAUUAAAGGGUGAGCCAUCGCGAGCAUUGUGUCAAUCGGCAUGAUAGGCAGGUUAAUAGCUUCUGAAGGCUCUUUCUGCAGCAAAAACAACAUUUGAGAUCAAUGAUUCAGUCAUAUCUUUUCCCUUUCAAGAGUGUCACAGCGCGGUGAUUGGCUCGUGGGUAAUAGGUACUUGAGGAGUGUUCUUGAAGAUGAAUAAUCUAAUGUUGAUGCUAGAGUGGCCACAGAAGCCAUCCCCGAGUCUAUUCCUUUAAAGCCUAGUGAAGAAACGUGAUUGAGCCAAAAUGUGACGACUAUGACUUACAUUUUAAAGAAAGAAACUAUCAGCCUAUACGAUGUAUGAGAGAAGUUACCACAUCUUGAGAGCAUGGCGUAUAACAAGAUACCACCCAUUGAGUGACAACCAGCGAGCAACUUCCCAUCUUUAGGUUUGGUUUGAGCCCUCACAUACUCCAUCUGAGACCAAGACGCCAUACAAUUAGACAUUCAUUGCUAUAGUAGCGCGUAAGCAGGUGGCCGACUACAGAAGAAUAAACAAGAAGUGUCACCUCACCGCAGAAGGAACAUCCUCUUCUAGAUAGUUAUCAAAAUCCCAAUUGUAGUGAGGGAUAAGUUCAAGCCGCUGCUUGAAAUCUCCCACUCUCUUAGAUAUACGGUCUUGCAGCCCAAUGAUCUUGGAACCUGCAAGUUCUUUCUCAGUAAAUAGACAAAUAUUCUCUUCUCUGGUCUCAACAGAACGAACCAAAACAGAACGAUAGUGGACUGUUUUUUCUUGGACUCAAUGAAGUCGAAACCGGUGUACUGUAUAACAUUCUAACUUUUAAAAGUGGAAGCAAAGGGUAAAAUCUACUUCUUAUAAUCGUUAAAUUUGAGAUAUAACGUAUAAUUUAAGUCAAGCAUAGAAAUUAAGUAAUUAACAAAGUAUUUUACUUUGAAUUCAUUACCUAAAAAGUAGAUAUAUUUCUUUGUUUGAGCACUAAACAAAACAUAAACAAGCAUAGAUACUAGUACUACAUUUGUUUGGAUGGGUGAGACUCUAAGUACUCAAUGACAUCCAUAUAUAAGUAAUGUGAGUAUGUGAUUUUGGUACGUAGAGAUUUGCUUUGGAAAUAAAGGAAGGAGGGUGAGACUUGAGGUAAUGUUGAAUAAGUCAGGUUUGUGCUUACACCACCACCCUUCAAAGUCGCCUUUCGUUGAGUUUUGUCCAGCUGUAAUGUGAUGAGUAUGCUUUAGUAUAUGUUCUUUGAUGAAGAAAUCAGAUUUUUAGACUUUGUUCUCUAACCUCAAUGCUUAGUUAAACUUUUAUGAUCCGAGAGCAAACAUUGGUUAAGAAGCUGUUUAAAUACUUAUCUGAUCCCUUAAAGACUAACUAACUAGUCCUUCUCAACCUUUGUUGCAGAAUGCGAAGUUGCCUUUAUAAUAAUAAUAAGGGUCACUCUUCUUUUAGCCUUUGUACAAUAUUUUUAGCAAACAUAAACAUUAUUCAUGUGAGGAUCCCAAACACGCCGAUUCAAAGACCAUGCUAACGUCUUUCUAUUAAUUUCAGGUUUUGCAGAUAAGUAUGGUGAUGCUAUGUUCCUACUUUGUAGUAAGAAUAAAAAAGAGGUAAUUUGGAUUACCUCAAUUCGGCUACCACAAGAGGCAUGAUUCUCUGUGAUAGACUUCCCCGAUCCGAUGUGAAUCCCCACCUUCUGGUGAAGAUACGAAACCAGACUACUGUGUCCGGUCAUGACAGAGUUUAAUACUACCCUGUCAUUCAUGAUUCCAACGUCACUCGUUGGAACUAUCCUCAGACUUUACUUGAGUCUGACGGCUCCAGCAGAGUCCACCGACGCUCGAUGGAACUGAGAGAAGUCCUUUUAUCCUUCCCUCUCGGGGUACCAAUUUUGCUGCUCGAACCAUGGUGAGACUCUAAUAUCAUGCUGAGUCACCACCACUUUUGCUGGUCAAGUAUUGGUGACCUUUCCUCUACUUAAUAACUACUUAACGAUUAAUCACACAACUUGAUUCCGGGUUUAGCCGGUUUACGAUUUCUUUAACCAGAAUUAAUGUUAUUUUAUAUGGUUCAAUCCGGUUGAUUGAUUGAUUGCUCUCGCUUGCUUCCCACAUACAUUUUUUUUUCUCUAACCUCUUUGAAUUCUACUACAAAAGUUCCAUGGGUGUAUUUAUAUUUCCUGACCUACUAUGAAUAGUCUAGUUUGUAAUUCAAGUUUGAUUUAUAUGAAGUUUAACAUUAAAACAACAACAACAAAAAAGUAACAACACACCACUAGCCGACCUUGGUGGCUGAAGCAGCAGCUUUACUCCUCCUAGCAGCAAUAAAGACCAACCUUCUGUUGACGAGAUGCAUCACGCAUAACUGUACUGGCCUGAACAAUAUAUGUGCUGAUGGUUACCUCCUCAAUGACGAUGAUGCUCUACUUUGUUCCAUGAAUCUUUCUUUCUUAAGCUACAAUGGAUGGAUAGUCUAGUUUGUUCAUACAUAUCCACACCACAAACCUUAGUGUAGAACUUUGAACUCUCAAAGUUAUUAAGGAUCGGACAACACAUAUUUUACUUUGUUUUAUGUCCCGCUAUUCUUGUUAGACACUCAAUCGUAUACUCUUUGAUAUAAACGAAAACCACAAACUUUUAUUAUAUACAUAAACUGUAUUUAUAGGUUUACAUGACACACUUUGACUAAGACUAUGCACAUCGGUUUGGGUCUCAAAAAAAAAAUUUAAUUUUUUUUUAAAUGCUUUUUUCGAUUUUAAAAAAAAAAGAUAACCAAUCGCGGACCACCACGUGUCAGUGGGGCCCGCAAAUAGGAAGAAGCAAAACGCAGGACCGUCGCAAUUCUGCGUACGUCCUUCACUUUUAUUUUUUUUUUCUGAUUUAAUUUUUUGCAAAAAAUUGGUUGGGACUUGGGCUACUAACGCCAAUAAACAAAGGAACACGUUUUUAGAAGACACCCCCCCCCCCCCAAUGUAAAGACACAAACACACACAUGUAACUGUUUUAUAGUUAACAAUUCUACUCAUAUCUCUUCGGUGUGUGAUACGAAUAGAUUAUACAUAAACCAGUUACUUAACUAUAUAAUACAUGACUCUCCUAAGAUAAUAAAAUAACAUGAAGACUUUAUUACAUCCAACACUUAAAGACAUGAGUUUCUCUUUGCCCGGUGCUUGUGGUACAAGUUACUUUCACCCAAAAAUCAAGGGUUUUUGAAACCUAGUUCAUUGACUCGCUCAAAAGUCACCACCUCCAUUAAUUAAAGUAUUAAACUCGUUUAGCCACGCUCGCACAUGUAAGUUUUGUGAGUCCCUCCGUAUCAUUUAACUAGAAAGUUACCCACGCAUAUUAUAUAUGAAAUAUUAAUUUGAAUUAGAAAUUGAAAACUACAUUAAGAUAUGUAGUUUAUAAGUAACUGUUAAUAUAAAACAUAUUUGUGUACAUUAUAAACAAUAAAAAUAAAUAAAAUAUAUAUUUGAAAAAUAUGAAACCAAAUGAGAUCAAAAUAAAGUUAUACAAAUUAGCACAUACAUAAUAUAGUAGGCAAUUGUAAAUUGAUGUUAAUUUUUUGUGUGUACAUUGUUAAUAUUAAAAGUAAACAAAACUCAUAUUUCACCUAAGAUAUUUACUGGUCUUGUUUGGUUUUGACAUAAUUUAAAAUGAAUGAAAUUGUAUUAAUAUGAUAUUAAUCAGAUUAAAAGUAUCAUUACAUUUACAUAUAACUUAUAUAGUUCUAUCCCAUAUAAUUAUUUUGAAUUUGUUUAAUUAACAUUGUUUACUAGUUUUCGCUUUUGAUCAGACAUAUAAACAAAUUGAAUCAGAUAACAAAAAGAUUAAAGAAAAUAUUAAAAGGUUGGAUAUAGCUAGAUAAUUUAACCAUACUUUCUAAAUGAUCUUACAAAUACAGAGAUAUGUUUCUCCAUAUCUUAUUUAUUAAGUGGCUCAUUGUUUUUCCAUAAUAUCACUAAUAAUGAAAAAUCUAUCUCAUUAGAUUAAGUCUAACGAAUAUAUUACUGAAGACAUAUAUAUUCUACAAGAGCAGCACUACUAGAGUUAAUCAUCAAACACAACAUAUCAUGGGCCGACACAAAGUUGAGUGGUAUGUGACAGAAACCGUCUUGUGUGAAUCAAUGAUAUGUUGUUUUCUGUUAAUCUUCAUGUGUCAAGAGUGUGUUAACUAAUAAUCGUGAAUGGUCCAAAGAAGAUGUUACAAAAAGGUUUUUCUUGCUUCUCAAUUAAGAGUCUAAAGAUGGUGAAUUUUUGUGGAAAUCUGAUGAUUUUUGGCACUGAUCCGAGUCGGUAUAGUAAACAUAUAUGAUGAGAAGAUUUUGGUACGUAGAGAUUUGCAUUGGAAAUAAAGGAAGGAGGUGGGACUUGUGGGAGAAAGUUGAAUAAGUCAGGGUUUGUGCUUUGUAUAUGUUCUUUUGAUGAAGAAAUCAGAUUUUUUAGACUUGUCCUCUAGCCUCAACACUUAGUUAGACUUUUAUGAACUUGCAGGUUAAGGAUCUACAGCUUGUUAAGUUUGGAAAAAAAGACCUAUGUCAUUGUCUUUAAUUUUGCAGAUAUGUUUGUAGAAACAGAUUGAAAAAGAGGUAAUUUGGCUUACCUCAAUUCGGCUACCACAAGAGGCAUGAUUCUCUGUGAUAGACUUCCCCGAUCCGAUGUGAAUCCCCACUUUUGGGUGAAGAUCCGGUGACACGACAGAGUUGUUACUCUGUCGGAUUUCCAACGAGUGACUCGUUGGUCAUAUCCCAAGACUACGCUUGUCUUGGGUCCGACGGUUUAGACAGAGUUGAAACUCUGCCCUUCGCUUCCUCCACCGAUCACUCGAUGAAGGUCAAAGUAGAGAGGAAGGAAACACUUUCCUUCUCACAAGUUGGGGUACCAAUAUCGCCUCUCGAACCAUGGUGAGACUCCUAUAUCAUGCUGAGUCACUCACCACUUUAGCAGUUCGAGUAUUGGUGACCUUUCCUCUGUUUAAUACCUACUUAAUGUUUAAUGCUAACACUAAAGGCAUGAUUCUUUGUUGUAGUUUACAACACAAUGAGUCAACAAUACCAAUGUUAUUCGAACCCUGGUGAGACUCUCGAUCAUGCUGAGUAACUACCACUUUACUGGGCUGAAAUUGGUGAUAGUUUCUCCAUUUAAUUACUAUUUAAAACGUUUAUAUGAUAUAACUCAUGUACUGUAUAUGGAUUAAUACAGCACGUAAACAAAAUCCACAACAAGCCAACCUAGAACAACUUAGGUUUUUAUUUUAUUUUGGACCAACUAAGAUGUCUCCAAAUUCGGAGGAUACAACCGACAGGACCGUUGAAUAGCGGAACUUCAGAAACGUGUGAGAAACACAAACUCAUGCCAAGGAGCCGCCUUGAUGCAUCGGAGAAGAUUUUCAUCCCUACAAUAUAAAUUGAAUAUGUUCACAUCAUCAUCGUUAAAACGCUUAGACAUAAACGUCUAGUUUCUCUCCAUGUGGAAACCCUAAAUCAUUCUUAAAAACAAUAGGGUCGUUUUUUCAUUGUUCAUUCGAAGUUAGGACAUUUUCCAUAGAUGCAACUUCGCCCUAAUUAAGAUUCUUACAUAAAUUUGACGUUCAAGAUUUCGAAAACAUCUCGGCCGUCGCAUAAUGAGUAUCAAAGUAUGAUCUCUAUCGUCUUUAACACCUUUGAUGCAUCAUCAUGCAAUACUAUAAGUAUUUUUGAUUCUUCUCUCUAUUUGGUCUCAUGCUCACAUAGUCACAUAUAUCAAAAGAGCAAUUUUGGGUAUAAUUAAUUAUGCUGUUUAUUUUAAAUUUUGAAACUAUGAAAUGGACUUAGACGUUAAGAUGGGAAGGUUUUAGGACCAAAUUAUAUAUUGAUCGUGUCAUUUUAUUAAAUAGGACCAUAGUAAUUGUAGUUCACCUAAUUUAAUUUUUUCUUUAUAAAUUAUCUGUAUAUCGUUGAGAUAGAUUUCUUUCCUCAAUUUAUUAGGUAGGUGUCCUCUCAGUUUACGUGAUAAAUGGAAAAGUAUGUGUUACUAGAUCGACUCAUCCAUUUCUUAUACCUUAUAAUUUAUAAUCUAUGGUUUUCAUGAAAAUCACCCACCAUGAAACUUAUAAAUAUUUCACUAAUAAUAUUAAUUAAGGAGUAAAAUUAAUGGUAAACAUUUGUUACUGUAUAAAUGAUAAGUAUCAUUAUAAAAUCAUAUCACCAAAAAAGUAAUAUAUUAAUAAAUGCCAGCAAAUGUUAAACAACUAGAUAUAUCUUAGUAUAAAUAUUAUAUUACAGUUAAUGUAGAGGAAAUUAAAAUUAUAAUAUUAUUAAUAUUUUUAAAGUGUAUAUAUGACGUGUAAUCAACCUUCUUAGACUAUCCAUAUAUUACUAUAUAAAUAGAGGAGUUUAGGGGAAAUAAAUAAUUAAUUAAAGAUUUUUUUUCUUAUAAAGAUUAAAUAUAAACUAAUAAUAGUUACAUAAAGUUGACUUCUUAGAUUUUUUUUCACUUUUAAUUUUAAGGUAGUUUCCCUUUAUAUAAUAAAUAUAUCUUUUCAAUGCAAAUUUUAUAUAAAGGUAGAUUUCUAGAUUUAUGUAUUUCCUUUAAUUUGUAAUUUAAAGAUGAUUUCCAUUGCUGAAGUUUAUAGCUUUAUUUUUUUCAAUGAAAUUUUUAUAUAAAAGAUUACAUAAACAAGGGUACCAUACUCUCAAUCUUUCACAAAUGUCUUCCAUCCCAAAUAAGUUUGAUAUUCACGGUGAUGAUACAGUAAACCAUCGUGGAUUUGGUCCCAUGGACAUGAAUCACAACUCCAAAAUGGCUCGAUCACUGUUCACUACAUCUGAUUGUGCCAACAACGGAGAUAUAUUUUCUUCUUCCCCAUCAUUAUCAACUUUCCAAAAUUCACAUGUCUCUUCAUCUUCCUUUGGAGUUAACAGUUCACAUAUGAACAAUCAUAUGAUGAGAAGAAACAUUGAUUUAAAUUCUAUUCCUGAUUUAAAUUCCAUUCCAGAUUCAAAUGCUAUUCCUAAUUUAAAUUCCAUUUCAGAUUCAAAUGCUAUUCCUGAUUUAAAUUCUACUCCUAAUAUUUCUGCACAUCGACGCACAACAAUGUUCAAAGUAAUGUCCAAGAUGGUCAAUCUUUGAAAAAAAUCUCCAAGCCAACCAUGCUUUUUGAAAAAACUACUGACGAAAGAAGUUGUGAAGAAAAUAAGAAAAGUGACAAUGAUGGUCGAACACAUAGUCUACAAUAUAAGAAAAACGGUCCAUAUACAUGUCCUAAGUGCAAUGGUAUGUUCGAUACUUGUCAGAAAUUUUCUGCACAUAUAUCAUCUCACUACAAGACUGAAACAAACAAAGAAAGAGCCCAGAGAUUUCGUGCAAGAAAUAAAAAAAAGUAUGGCAAAAUAAAUCUCUAAGAUCAUGGCGAGUCUCAAAAAAUCAACCUAGAGGAUGGCGUCAAUAGCAGGGGAGGAAGUGAAGGCUAAUCUAUCCAACAUCCUAAGAUUGUAAUAUAAUAGCUUAUUUUGGAUUUUAUUUCCUUAAAUCUCUUUUUAGUAUUUGAUUUUUCUCAAAAAUUGCCUAUUCUCCUUUUUUCUAGUAUUUUCAUCAUAUUUGUUGGUACAAUGAGUGGAUAUGCAUUUAUUUGUAGUCAAUUGUACUUUUUAUUAUCAUUUUUAAUUUAAGAUGUGGUUGUUUUAUAAUAAAUAUUUUCUUAAAUUUCAGUUAAUAAUGCAUAUGCAAUGAUACAUGUUGAAUCAUAUUACACUUGAAAUUAAGCUAUAUAAGUUUUCAUACAUUUGAUAUCAUAUAUAUAUGUAACAAAAAUAAAAAUUUGAUAAGAUAUAUAUUUACUGGAUCUUGUUUGUUUUUGUCUAUUUUCAUAAUUUACAAUGAUUAAAAAUGUUUUAAUAUAAUUAUAUAUGAACGACUUUAAUUUAUACAACGUAACUAACGCAUGCGGGAGAUGAAUAUAUUUGUUUUGGGUGUUGUUUUUUUCUUUCAUACUCAUUAGUUUAUGGAGAUUUGAAUGGCUUGAUACGAGUUAAAACUAUUUACUUACAUACGUCGAUUAUUCAAAACAAAACUCACAUAGUCACAUGUGCAUAUAUGUAAUAUAUAUGAGACCUAGAAAAAAAUAAAAAAAUGAGCAUAAAUUUGAGAGAUGAUAGAAAACAAAAAAAAAACUCGAGUAUAAUCAAUAGAUUCACACGAUUUCAAAAGAAAUGAAGUUACAAUUUCUUUUAAACGAAUUCUUGAGUAGAAAGAUCACAACUAAAUCUCGAGUAAAUAUUCAUUGCAAGCCCACAAAUGUUGGAUCAGUAUAGUAUAGUAGUAGUCUAGUAGAUAAGAUAAAUAGGACUAUAACCAAAAACAAGCUUACACCAAAAGUAAGUAGAUAGAUUGAGAUAGCACUAAACUUUGUUGAUAGAUCCAAUAUCCACAGAAGCUCGAAGACUUAGGUUACAUCGCAACAUGUCACAAACGAGAUCAUGGUGUGUCAAAGGCACUUCCACGAAAUCCAGUGAGAGGUUUCUCCUUGACAAGAAUACGUAUCAAACAAACAUAAAGAUGUCGCUAAACUGCUAGGAUGGUUUCCUCGACCAGCCAAUACAGAACAUGAGAAGCAUUAGAAAUAUUGAACUUGAGCAGGGAUUGGGGAGACCCUCGUGGUCAGAUAUAAAACGAUAAGCUGUUCUAAAUUGGAGUACUUCGAGAUCCUUCAGAUGACAUUUUUGAUGUAAGAACUGUAUCCAAAACUGCAAAGCGGAGACGAUAUAGUGGACUGUUUUUUCUUGGACUCAAUGAAGUCGAAACCGGUGUACUGUAUAACAUUCUAACUCAAUGACAUCCAUAUAUAAGUAAUGUGAGUAUGUGAUUUUGGUACGUAGAGAUUUGCUUUGGAAAUAAAGGAAGGAGGUGAGACUUGAGGUAAUGUUGAAUAAGUCAGGUUUGUGCUUACACCACCACCCUUCAAAGUCGCCUUUCGUUGAGCUUUGUCCAGCUGUAAUGUGAUGAGUAUAUAUGUUCUUUGAUGAAGAAAUCAGAUUUUUAGACUUUGUUCUCUAACCUCAAUGCUUAGUUAAACUUUUAUGAUCCGAGAGCAAACAUUGGUUAAGAAGCUGUUUAUAUAUUUAUCUGAUCCCUUAAAGACUAACUAACUAGUCCUUCUCAACCUUUGUUGCAGAAUGCGAAGUUGCCUUUAUAAUAAUAAGGGUCACUCUUCUUUUAGCCUUUAAAAGGUUAUUCAUGUGAGGAUCCCAAACACGCCGAUUCAAAGACCAUGCUAAUGUCUUUCUAUUAAUUUCAGGUUUUGCAGAUAAGUAUGGUGAUGCUAUGUUCCUAGUUUGUAGUAAGAAUAAAAAAGAGGUAAUUUGGAUUACCUCAAUUCGGCUACCACAAGAGGCAUGAUUCUCUGUGAUAGACUUCCCCGAUCAAGUGAAUCCCCACCUUCUGGUUAAGAUACGAAACCAGACUGCUGUGUCCGGUCAUGACAGAGUUGAAGGCAAGUUGAGAGGAAACAGUUUCCUUCUCACAAGUUGGGGUACCAAUAUCGCCUCUCGAACAAUGGUGAGACUCCAAUAUCAUGCUGAGUCACCCACCACUUUAGCUGUUCGA
rnacentral:lncRNA from 1 species